rnacentral:rRNA from 1 species
GUGAAAUUGUUGAAAGGGAAACGCUUGAAGUCAGUCGCGUCUACUAGAACUCAGCCUUGCUUUUGCAUGGUGCACUUUCUAGCUGACGGGUCAACAUCAGUUUUGACCGGUGGAUAAAGGUAGGAGGAACGUGGCUUCUUCGGAAGUGUUAUAGCCUCUUAUUGUAUACAUCGAUUGGGACUGAGGUCUGCAGCAUGCUCUCACGAGCCGGGGUUCGCCCACGUACAUGCUUAGGAUGUUGGCAUAAUGGCUUUAAGCGACCCGUCUUGAAACACGGACCAAGGAGUCUAACAUAUCUGCGAGUAUUUGGGUGUCAAACCCGAGUGCGCAAUGAAAGUGAAUGCAGGUGGGAAGCGCAAGCUGCACCAUCGACCGGUCUGGAUUUUUAAUGAUGGAUCUGAGUAAGAGCAUAUAUGUUGGGACCCGAAAGAUGGUGAACUAUGCCUGAAUAGGGCGAAGCCAGAGGAAACUCUGGUGGAGGCUCGUAACGAUUCUGACGUGCAAAUCGAUCGUCAAAUUUGGGUAUAGGGGCGAAAGACUAAUCGAACCA